GGGUGAUUAGCUCAGCUGGGAGAGCAUCUGCCUUACAAGCAGAGGGUCGGCGGUUCGAUCCCGUCAUCACCCCCCA
rnacentral:tRNA from 1 species